UGAAACCCGUGCAAAAUCGCAGGAUUUUAAAUGAUUUUGAAGGAUUAGGUUAAUUUUUUUGAUAGGGGUCAAUGUUGACCUGGUUCAUCAAUUGACCUGAUUUGUGCUAGUGACCCGGUUCUAUAAAUACAUAAAAGACCAAUUUUUUUUAUUCUUUUACACUAUACAGCCUCUUCACCAUACAUUAAGUUCAAAAUAAACUAUACCUGACUAGACUGUCUCUUCCCUUCAAUCCAUCACCCUGUAAUUGACAAUUUCUUCGUGAAUUAUGUUCGCAUCUAGGAUUUGCUUUAAGUAUUUUGUUAGGGAUCUAGUCUUUGCCUUGAAACUUAAUAGUCACUUCCUCACUUAUGAUCAAGUAUUAUGUUAGGCAUCUAGGAUUUGCAUUUUAAAUAUUUUAUCUAGGUUGUUUAUCAUUAUUAUGACAACUAAAGAAUAUUUCACAUCUAGGUUCUGAG
rnacentral:lncRNA from 1 species